rnacentral:rRNA from 1 species
AGGGUUUGAUCAUGGCUCCACGAACGCUGGCGGCAGGCCUAAUACAUGCAAGUCGAGCGCCCUUUCGGGGGAGCGGCGGACGGGUGAGUAACGCGUGGGAACGUGCCCUUUGCUACGGAACAACUGAGGGAAACUUCAGCUACCGUAUGUGCCCUUCGGGGGAAAGAUUUAUCGGCAUUGGAGCGGCCCGCGUUGGAUUAGGUAGUUGGUGAGGUAAAGGCUCACCAAGCCUACGAUCCAUAGCUGGUCUGAGAGGAUGAUCAGCCACACUGGGACUGAGACACGGCCCAGACUCCUACGGGAGGCAGCAGUAGGGAAUCUUGCGCAAUGGGCGAAAGCCUGACGCAGCCAUGCCGCGUGAAUGAUGAAGGUCUUAGGAUUGUAAAAUUCUUUCACCGGGGAAGAUAAUGACGGUACCCGGAGAGAAGUACCGGCUAACUUCGUGCCAGCAGCCGCGGUAAUACGAAGGACGCUAGCGUUGCUCGGAAUUACUGGGCGUAAACGGCGCGUAGGCGGAUAUUGUAGUUAGAGGUGAAAGCCCAGGGCUCAACCCUGGAAUAGCCUUUAAUACUGGAUAUCUUGAGUUCGGGAGAGGUGAGUGGAACUCCGAGUGGCGAGGUGAAAUUCGUAGAUAUUCGGAAGAUUACCAGUGGCGAAGUAGACUCACUGGCCCGAUACUGACGCUGAGGCGCGAAAGCGUGGGCUCACAGGAUUAGAUACCCUGGUAGUCCACGCUGUAAACGAUGAGUGCUAGUUGUCGGCAUGCAUGUGUGUCGGUGACGCAGCUAACGCAUUAAGUACUCCGCCUGGGGAGUACGGUCGCAAGAUUAAAACUCAAAGGAAUUGACGGACGCCCGCACAAGCGGUGGAGCAUGUGGUAAUUCGAAGCAACGCGCAGAGUCUUACCACCUUUUGACAUGCCCAGACCGCCAGAGAGAUCUGGUCCCCCUUCGGCGACUGGGACACAGGUGCUGCAUGGCUGUCGUCAGCUCGUGUCGUGUCUUUGGGUUAAGUCCCGCACGAGCGCAACCCACGCCAUUAGUUGCCAUCAUUUAGUUGGGCACUCUAAUGGGACCGUGGUAAGCCGGAGGAAGGUGUGGAUGACGUCAAGUCCUCAUGGCCCUUACGGGGUGGGCUACACACGUGCUACAAUGGCGACUACAGAGGGUUGCAACCCAGCGAUGGUGAGCUAAUCCCCAAAAGUCGUCUCAGUUCGGAUUGCACUCUGCAACUCGAGUGCAUGAAGUCGGAAUCGCUAGUAAUCGCGGAUCAGCAUGCGGUGAAUACGUUCCCGGGCCUUGUACACACCGCCCGUCACACCAUGGGAGUUGGCUUUACCCGAAGGCGGUGCGCUAACCAGCAAUGGAGCUAGCCGACCACGGUAGGGUCAGCGACUGGGGUGAAGUCAUAACAAGGUAACCGUA